rnacentral:rRNA from 1 species
CGAUGAUACGCGAGGAACCUUACCUGGGCUUAAAUGGGAGUGACAGCUGUCGAAAGAUGGUUUUCUUCGGACACUCUUCAAGGUGCUGCAUGGUUGUCGUCAGCUCGUGCCGUGAGGUGUCGGGUUAAGUCCCAUAACGAGCGCAACCCUUACCGUUAGUUACCAUCAGGUUAAGCUGGGGACUCUAGCGGGACUGCCACCGUAAGGUGAGAGGAAGGUGGGGAUGACGUCAAAUCAGCACGGCCCUUAUGUCCAGGGCUACACACGUGUUACAAUGGCCGGUACAAAGGGCAGCUACUUCGCGAGAAGAUGCUAAUCUCGAAAGCCGGUCUCAGUUCGGAUCGAAGUCUGCAACCCGACUUCGUGAAGCUGGAUUCGCUAGUAAUCGCGCAUCAGCCAUGGCGCGGUGAAUACGUUCCCGGGCCUU